rnacentral:rRNA from 1 species
UGGUUGGAUCAUACCAAUACCAAUGCAUCACAUCACAUUGGAACUCUGUAGAUGUGCUCGAGCUAGAGUAGUACUAAGAUGGGUGACCUCCCGAGAAGUCCCAGUGUUUGACUCU